rnacentral:rRNA from 1 species
GACGAACGCUGGCGGCGUGCUUAACACAUGCAAGUCGAACGGUGAAGCGCCUUCCUUUUUGGUGGGUGUGGAUGAGUGGCGAACGGGUGAGUAACACGUGAGUAACCUGCCCCCUUCUUCUGGAUAACCGCAUGAAAGUGUGGCUAAUACGGGAUAUUCUGGUUCUGUCGCAUGAUGGGUCUGGGAAAGAUAUUGUUUCGGUGGGGGAUGGGCUCGCGGCCUAUCAGCUUGUUGGUGGGGUGAUGGCCUACCAAGGCGGUGACGGGUAGCCGGCCUGGGAGGGUGGACGGUCACACUGGGGAGGAGACACGGCGCAGACUCCUACGGGAGGCAGCAGUGGGGCAUAUUGCACGAUGGGCGCAAGGCUGAUGCAGCGACGCCGCGUGAGGGAUGGAGGCCUGCGGGUUGUGAACCUCUUUCGCCAGUGAAGCAGGCCUGCCUCGUUUGUGGGUGGGUUGACGGUAGCUGGAUAAGAAGCGCCGGCUAACUACGUG